GUGCACCAGGCGCGAAAGCGUGAGACCGCGAAUCUGAGUGCCAAGGAGAACCUUGGCUGUGAUGGAGUGUUCAAAGCUCCAACAGCAAGCAGAGGGCAAGGCUGGUGCCAGCCGCCGCGGUAAAACCAGCUCUGCGAGUGCCUAGCGCGAUUAUUGGGCUUAAAGCAUCCGUAGCCGGAUAAGUAGGUCUCUGGUUAAAUCUGCAAGCUUAACUUGUAGGCUGUCAGAGAUACCACUAAUCUAGGGAAUAGGAGAGGUGAACGGUACUGCGAGAGAAGCGGUGAAAUGCGUUGAUUCUCGCAGGACCCACAGUGGCGAAGGCGGUUCACUGGAAUAUCUCCGACGGUGAUGGAUGAAAGCCAGGGGAGCGAAAGGGAUUAGAUACCCCCGUAGUCC
rnacentral:rRNA from 1 species